rnacentral:lncRNA from 1 species
GGGGAAGUAGCAUCAAAUCAAUUGGGAGAAAUUUAAUUCUGAUCCCUGGACUUUUCAUUUAUAUGAACCAUUUUCAUGUUGUUUUCACAGUAGAAUCAUUUGUCCGCACACACUUUGUUUGUUUAUAAUGGGAGUUUGGGCAACAAUUAACUCACAUCCAGCGGUGUGGUUUUUUUCCCUAGCAUAAUUGCAAUUAUUUGUUCCUUCAUAGUUUCAUCAUGGGCUUAGCUUUUAAUAAACUCAAAUGGUUGCAAUUAACUAUAAUCACUGCUUUCUUUCUUUUUUAGUUGUACAUGGACACAGUGCAAUUAUUUAUUUAUUUUUAUGUGGUGCUGAAGAUGGAACCCAGGGCCUCACUUGUGCCAGUCGAGCGCUCUACCACUGAGCCACAACUCCAACUCUCUGCUUUCUUUUUGAUACUCAAAAAAGCUAAGAUAGGUCACUGCCCUCAAGAAACUUAAAUUCUUUUUGGAUAAACAAGAUCUAACAUACAUGAGAAACACAGUGAGCAGAGCGAUGCAGAACGUGUAACAGGCUGUUCUGAUCCCUGUAGCCAUGGGUGACAGGUAACGCUCUCUUCCUCCCACAUGAUUCUUUGCAUGCACUGAUUUUCAUGGGAGAUAGGAAGUCUCCUCUGGAGUGAAAGCUUGAAUUCAAUCUACAGUUGGACUCGGGUACUACAAGCAUGUCUGAAGGGGAAGGGCACAAUUCACUGUGCAAAGCUGGGGAGGAAGAGUCAGCACGGAUAGUCUCCAGUUGCCAGAGAUGAACAGCAAGUAAAGACGGGGAUCCUUCAAAACCAAAAGGGGCUGGGGAUGUGGUCCAGUGGCCACAUGAGACCCCCUACAACAAUUACAUAAAGAUUCCAGAUAUCCAUUACUGAAUAACAAACUACUAGAGAACCUAUUCAGGGUUAGUUGGCACAAAACUCUAAUCAUUUUAUUCUUACGGCUCUGGUUCUGGGGUUGACUGGGACCAUCUAGGUGGUGUGAAUCAAGGCUUCCAAUGUCUAAUUUCUGUGUUUACAGUCAGGUGGUGGCUGCAAAAGGAGUCAUGUCAAAAGCUCUUGGCUUUUGUGCUGACUGUUUUCUUGAACUUCAGGUGGACUUCUAGCUAAAAUAUGUCUCUUUGUGGGCCUGGUUUUCUCACUGUGGUGCCUGGGUUCCAAGAGGCGGGGCAGGACAUGGAAACUGCAUUUAGUGAUUAUAGUUAAUUGGGUUGUGUAGUAAGCCACUGAUGUGGGUCUCUUAUCUAAAUUCUACUGGCCAAGCAGAUUCAGAGACCAGACCCAAGGAGAGGGGACAUAGAAUACCACUUCUACAUGGGGCUGGGAAUGGGGGAGCCCAAUUUGGGAACUCCUUUUAAGUUUUUUGAGCGUGAAGUGUAUUGCAUGAAUUUUCUCAUUCAGUUCUCACUUUGACUAUUAAAACCAUUUUACAAAUAAGGAACCAAGUUCAGAGGAACUGAAACAGAGAACACAAGAGACUUGCUGAAGACCACGUGGACUCCAUUUCCUAUUCGUUUUAGCUAUCAUUCUCUGUUCCAAAUACCUGAGGGAAGAGGAAUCUUCAAAGGGAUGACAUCCUGAGGGGGCAGGGACCCUAAACAAUCCUAGCUGAGCUCUAACAUGAAUCUGGAAUGUGUUCACUCACUGGGGCCCACAGCGCUUGGGUUGUGUAGUAAGCCACGCCCUUUUCUGAGGUUUCAGUUUCAGUGGUUUCAGCUACUGAAGUCAACCACAAUCCAAAAAUAUUAAAUGGAAAAUUCCAGAAGGAAAUAAUUCAUAAGUUUUUAAUUGCAUACCACCAUUCUGCAUAGUGUGAUGAAAUCUCCUGCCAUUCCACUUCAUCUAGCCUGGGACACGAAUUACCCAUUUGUCCAGUGUAUUCAUGCUGUAUACAUUGCCCAUCUGUUAGUCACUUAGCAGCCAUCUUGGUUAAGGACUAUUGUAGCAGCAUCUAUAUGUUGUUAUAAUUAUU